AAUACUCAGAAGCUAGCCCUCCACAGGAUGGGGUGAGUGCAUGAGCCACAAAUGCAAAUUGGUUCUCUAUCUCAGUUCCCCAAAACUGCUACGGGGAUCCCCACGGCCAGCUCCCAAGUGAGAAAUGUAGCUGAGGCUGCAAAACGUCGAGAAUGGUCUCUGAGAAGAUAAACAAGUGGAGAGCCAGAAGGGAAUGUCACCACACUUGUGCCUGGCCCAGGAACACAUGCUGUGCUGUUUCAAAAUCUAUGCCUGCAAAUAAGUUUGUGCUGUGAUUGACCACAUGUGACACGAAGGUCUAUCCUUUUCCUCUGGAUGAAAAGCCACAUGACCUCAGUUUGGAUCAGGCAUACCAGCCCAGGCAAGAUAGGAGCAGAGCUUUUUCUUAAGAAACAAAGUGGUCCCAUGAUACCACUGUCAAAUGGUGAACACAGGGGAUCCCUGGGUGGCUCAGCGGUUUAGCGCCUGCCUUUGGCCCAGGGUGUGAUCCUGGAGUCCCCGAAUCGAGUCCCGCGUCGGGCUCCCGGCAUGGAGCCUGCUUCUCCCUCCUCCUGUGUCUCUGCCUCUCUCUCUCUCUCUCUUUCUCUCUCUCUCUGUGUCUAUCAUAAAGAAAUAAAUAAAUCUUAAAAAAAAAGAUGGUGAACA
rnacentral:lncRNA from 12 species